GGAAGGAAGGAAAAUUAAUCAGAAAGCAUUGGAUCUUCCAAAACAAAAAAGUGUGUAAGCCUUGUAAGCCAAGUACAGUAUAUUACAAUUUUCUAUUGUUAGACUUUGUUAUCAGUAAUUUUGUAUCUUGGUCCUUCUCUUGUCACACUUUACACUAAGCAGAGCUUCCCAGUUAAGAAAACAUUCAAAACAUUUUCUUUAGUUGCCUUGAAUGUGAGACACCUUGAAUGAAUUGAACCUGCUUAGUGCUACCAACACUCAUGUUUCUACUGGCUGGUAGUGCUAACCGCAGGGUUGAGGAAGGUAGAAAGAUACCCAGAUUCCCUCCAAAAAUAACCAGCAUGUUUGUCGAAGCAGUCACUGUCUUCACCACACUUCCUCUUUUUUUGGUUCAAGUCAUUUCCUCUAUGGGAAAUUAUCUGUAAAUGAGUCUAUCUUGUAGCCUACCAGGUUGCCUUUUCCUCGAAAUUCUGUUUACUUGGGAUUCUUCCCUAAUCUCUCCACCAAAUAUAUUUGCUUUAGUCCUUCCUCUUCUCUGGUUAGCUCUGUGGUUAGAAAUGUAAAUACUGAAUUUAACGUGACUUCUUUGUGCUGUUUGGAAGGAUUCUUGCAGCAAAAUAUCCCCCAACCAUAAAAAGGCAGGGUGAGGUAAUGCAAGGAAUUAAUCUAGCUGUGGAUAUGUGUAUUGCUAUGAAUGUAAAUAAAUAUCUGACAGGUGUGAUUUAAGUUGUAAAAGGGUCUAUUAAAACACAACUAUUUUUUAUUUAAAAAAUCAGAAGGGGCCAGGUGGGGUGGCUCAAUGCCUGCAAUCUCAACAUAUUGGGAGAUCAAGGUGGAAGGAUCACUUGAGGCCAGGAGUUCAAGACCAGCCUGGACAACAUAGUGAGACCCCCAACUCUAUGAAAAAAUAAAAAAUUAAAAUGAGCUGGGCAUGGUGGCAUGCACCUGUAGUCCCAGCUACUUGGGAGGCUGAGGUGGGAGGAUCACUUGAGCCCAAGAGUUCAAGGCUGCCGUGAGCUAUGAUCAUGGUACUACACUCCAGCCUAGACAACAGAGUGAGACCCUGUCUCCAAAAAAACAAAACGAAACAAAAUCAAUAAAGGAGAACAGCUUCAAAUUACCUGUUUGUGUUCCAUUAUAUUCAUAAGCCAUGCAUUUUACUGGGACCUGGUUUCAAAUUUGCAGUGCUUGCCUACGCUCAAUGGCAGAUAUCUCCAUUUCCAAAAGCCCUUUAGCUCUCUCUCUAAAAAUAGAUGAGGCCCAGCUUGGUGGCUCACGCCUGUAAUCCCAGCACUUUGGGAGGCUGAGGUGGGUGGAUCACCUGAGGUCAGGAGUUCGAGACCAGCCUGGCCAACAUGGUGAAACCCCAUCUCUACUAAAAAUACAAAAAUUAGCCGGGCAUGGUGGCACGUGCCUGUAAUCCCAGCUACUCGGGAAGCUGAGGCAGGAGAAUCCCUUAAACCCAGGAGGCAGAGGUUGCAGUGAGCCGAGAUCAUGCCAUUGCACUCCAGCCUAGGUGACAGAGCAGGACUCCAUCUCAAUAAAUAAAUAAAUAAAUAAAAAAGAAAGAAAGAUAGGAUUUUUUUCCUCAAAAAAAAAAAAAUGAAAAUCACGCUAUUUAUAGAUCAAACCAAGUACAUAGGUUAAAAAUGUGAGGAAAGGGAUGGAAGAGAAAUCGGAGUCAAUGUGGAUGCUACAGCUUCCAAGCCCAGGCAGUUGGGGAAAUUAAUGAGUGAAAGUGAGAGGACAGGUUUUAUCAUCUGCAAAGUGCUACAACAAUGUCCGUGAUUGUUAUAGGUCCAGGAACACAGAGAGGAAAAACUAGGAAAGGUGGAUGUGGUUAGCAACAAGAGCAAUGAGUUCAGCUGGGAACUUCCCAUCUUGAAGAGUGAGGUAUUUAGCAGAGAUGUACCAGACACAAUGAAAGAUUUCCACUUGGAAGUUGAGUAAGGUAGCUCACCUGGAGACAGAUUUAGGAGUCACCACAUAGGGGUGAUGUUUGAGUCUUUGAGCAAAUAAGGGAAUGUGGACAGGAAACAUCGCUGAUGAUGACAACCCCUUUGAGUUUCACAAUAUAAAUCUUUCCAUUGCCUUUUUCUCCAGUACAUAGUCAAUUGUUGAGGUCUUGUCUGUGUCUGCCUUUUCUCUGUCCUUUGUUUGUUUGUUCUAGCUUAUGCACUCCCAGAAGGUAAGAAUGUGUCUGUUUAACUCACUUUGAACAGUAGAGAACUCAGUAUCACUGGCACACAGGCUCUGCAAGUGCAGUUCUUACCCAACAUGAAUUGGUUUGGCCUAAGCUUGGAGAUGGAGGGUCUGGCUCCAUGACACAAAGCGUGGAGCCAAGGGUGAGUGCAGAGGUAGGGCUUCAAAGAAAACCCUGCUCAGGCCAGGCGCAGUGGCUCAUGCCUGUAAUCCCAACACUUUGGGUGGCUGAGGCAGGUGGAUCACGAGGUCAGGAGUUUUGUUUGUUUGUUUUUGAGACAGUCUCG
rnacentral:lncRNA from 1 species